rnacentral:rRNA from 1 species
ACAAAAAAGUCCUUAUGGAGCUGCCUGAGCAGAUGACACAUGUUUAACGGCCGCCGUACCCUAACCGUGCAAAGCUCGUAUAAUCACUUGUUCCUUAAAUAGGGACCUGUAUGAAUGGCUCCACGAGGGUUCAUCUGUCUCUUACUUUUAACCAAUGAAAUUGACCUGCCCAUAAAGAGGCAGGCAUAACACACCAAAACAAAAAGACCCUAUGGAGAAC